UACGGAGGGUGCUAGCGUUGUUCGGAAUUAUUGGGCGUAAAGGGCAAGUAGGUGGUCUUGAUAGUCUACUGUGAAAUCCCUGGGCUUAACCCAGGAAGUGCGGUGGAUACUACAAGACUAGAGUACCGGAAGGGUGCGUAGAAUUCCUGGUGUAGCGGUGAAAUGCGUAGAUAUCAGGAGGAAUACCAGAGGCGAAGGCGGCGCACUGGACGGUAACUGACACUCAAUUGCGAAAGCGUGGGGAGCAAACAGG
rnacentral:rRNA from 1 species